UACGGAGGGUGCAAGCGUUGUCCGGAUUUAUUGGGUUUAAAGGGUGCGUAGGCGGUCUUUUAAGUCAGUGGUGAAAGCCAACAGCUCAACUGUUGAACUGCCAUUGAUACUGGGAGACUUGAGUACAGACGAGGUAGGCGGAAUUGACGGUGUAGCGGUGAAAUGCAUAGAUAUCGAGAGGAACACCUGCGGCGAAGGCGGGUUGCUGGGCUGACACUGACGCUGAACUGCGAAAGCUAGGGGAGCGAACGGG
rnacentral:rRNA from 1 species